rnacentral:lncRNA from 1 species
CCCCUAUAAAAGUAUUUAAAACAUUCAAAAUUAUUUCAAAGGUUAAUUAAAGGGGUAUGAACUCACCUGUAGUGAGUGGUUCUGAUGACAAUGUUGGAUUAGUUGCUAGGUGUCAAGUGGUGACUUGAGUACACGCGUGAAUCCUAUUUAGCAUAUAUUGGCACAUAUAUGGAUUUAAUUAGUGUUAUGAACAACUAAUUGAUGAUUUUGGGACCACCUUAGGGACUAGUAAACACUUAUAAUGAAGUGUUAUAAUCAAAUAUGAUUGUAUGAGGGUUUAUAAGGCUAUACAAGAGGGUGUAUGGUCAAAAUACACACUAUAUGUGUGUGCGGCCUAGUGUGCUACCGGCACAUGUGUGCGGCCCUGUGUGCGGCCAUGUGUGCUGCCAUGUGUGCGGCCAGAUGAUGAUCUUGGUGUACUUGGUGUUCUUGGUACCUUUUAUGAAGAUCUUCAAGGAGAAUGGAUGAUACUUGAGAGGAUUUUCGAGUUCUAUGCUUGAAGAAGUGAAGGAAGUGUUCAAGAAUGAUCUAAGUGUGGCAUAUAUAGGUGGAGUGUGCAGUUGGGAAGGUGUGAGGCCGCAAACAAGAGUGUGUGGCCGCACACUCAAGUGUAUGGCCGCACACUCCAUGUGUUGGAGUGUUUGGCCCGGUUUUGAUUCCUACACUUCGAGUUAACCCUUCUUAACACUCUUACCUUGAUUAUAUCACAUUUAGAACACUUCGUUAGACUCUAAAGGGUAUUAACAUAUAGUAAAAUAAGUCUAAUAUUGGAAAGAAUUGAAGAGUGCACGCGAGAAGAUUUUCGGGUUGCCACAUCAUCCCCCUGUUAAGGGAAUUUCAUCCUGAAAUUUGAGUUUAAGUUAGUAUAUUAUUACAAAUAACUAAGUAAGAAGAUGAGGAUAUUUCAAUUUCAUCUGAUCCUCGCGUUCCCAAGUGAAUUACGGCCCGCUCUUGGCGUUCCAUCGAACCUUCACAAUCGGGAUACGGCUUUGCUUCGUCUGUUUGACCUCACGGUCCAUGACUUCUACGGGUUCUUCCAUGAAGUUGAGGCUCUCGUUGAUCUCGAUCUCGUCGAGUGGGAUUACAAGAGUCUCGUCGGAUAGACACUUUUUCAAAUUGGAAACAUGGAAGGUAGAAUGUACGUUACGAAGUUCGUUCCGUAGAUUGAGUUUGUAAGCCACUGGGCCGAUUCUUGCGAGAAUCUCGAAAGGCCCAAUGUACCUUGGAUUUAGCUUUCCACGCUUUCCGAAGCGUAUCAAGCCCUUCCAGGGUGAGACCUUCAAUAAAACGCGGUCGCCCACCUGGAAUUCCAACGGUUUUCUACGUUUAUCAGCGUAGCUUUUCUGUCGGUCUCUGGAGGCUUUCAAUCGUUCGCGGAUUUGAACGAUCUUCUCCGUCGUUUCCCGAAUGAUUUCCGGGCCUGUGAGAGUACUAUCAGAAGUUUUCCCCCUAGCUAAUUAGGUAUCACCCACCUCAGCCCAGCACAGAGAGGAUCUGCACUUUCGGCCGUAGAGGGCUUCAAAUGGGGCAGCCUUGAUGCUCGUGUGAUAACUGUUGUUGUAGGAAAACUCGACAAGGGGUAAAUGAGUAUCCCAUGCCUUUCCAAAGUCAAUCACACAGGCUCUCAACAUAUCUUCUAGUGUUUGGAUGGUCCUCUCACUUUGUCCAUCGGUCUGUGGAUGGUAGGCUGUGCUCAUGUCCAGCCUUGUUCCCAAGGAAUGUUAUAGUGAUUGUCAGAAUCUUGAGGUGAACCUACUAUCUCUAUCGGAGAUAAUGGAUAUAGGAACACCAUGUAGUCGCACGAUUUCCCUAAUGUAUGUUCUCGUAAGUUUCUCCAUCUUAUCGGUUUCCUUGAUAGGUAGGAAGCGUGCAGACUUGGUCAAUCUAUCGACGAUGACCCAUAUGGUAUCAAGUCCAACCGUUGUCUUGGGCAACUUGGUUAUGAGAUCCAUAGUGAUUCGUUCCCACUUGCAUUCUGGGAUCUCUACGGUAGUAGCCAGCAAGACCUAAAAAUUGACGAAUUUCUGUAGGCGUCUUUGGUGCUGACCAGUUCUCAAUAGCCUUAAUUUUGGAUGGAUCCACAUGGAUUCCCUCUUCGCUUACCACAUGUCCUAAGAAUUUGACUCUUCGGAUCCAAAAUUCACACUUCGAGAACUUCACAUAGAGUUUCUCUGUUCGUAACGUUCUUAAAACUUGUCGUAGGUGAUUGCCAUGCUCUUCCUUACUCCGGGAGUAGAUCAGAAUGUCGUCGAUGAAAACAAUUACGAACUGAUCCAAGUAAGGUCGGCAUACUCGAUUCAUCAGAUCCAUGAAGACUGCGGGCGCAUUGGUCAAUCCGAAUGGCAUCACCACGAACUCGUAGUGUCCGUAACGAGUCCGGAAGGCUGUCUUCGGAACAUCUUCCUCUAGCACUCGUAACUGGUGAUAUCCGGAUCUCAGAUCAAUUUUGGAAAAAUAAUUCGCCCCUUGCAGCUGGUCAAAUAGAUCGUCUAUGCGGGGCAGAGGGUAACGAUUUUUGAUUGUCAGUUUGUUGAGUUCCCUGUAGUCGAUACACAUACGGAAUGAUUCGUCUUUCUUCUUAACAAACAAGACUAGUGCUCCCCAAGGCGAUAAGCUUGGUCUUAUGAAGCCCUUGCUGAGCAGUUCGUUAAGUUGACCAGAUAGUUCCUGCAUAUCAGCUGGUGCUAAUCGGUAGGGAGACUUGGCUAUUGGGGUAGCUCCUGGAACUAAGUCGAUUCUGAACUCGACCUGUCGUUGCGGAGGUAAACCUGGUAGCUCUUCUGGGAAAAUGCCGGGGAAGUCGCUCACUACUGGAAUGUUCUUUAGUUCUUUCGUUUCGAGGCUUGUAUCGACAACGUGAGCAAGGAAUGUGCGAUAUUCCUUACGUAGGUAUUUAUGUGCUUGGAUACUGGAGAUAAUAUGAAGACGGGUUUGUCGCCGUAGAUUAUAAGAGUUUCGUUAGACGGUAGGUUUAAACGGAUUGCUUUCUCGAAGCACAUGAUGUCAGCGCGAUGAGACUCAACCANCCAUGCCGAUGAUAACGUCGAAACUUUUAAUGGAAACCGACAUGAGGUCGAUUGGAAAUGAAUGGUUAUCUAGAGUUAGGUUGCAUCCUAAGUAUAUGCUCCUGGUGCUUUUAGUUUUCCCAUUUGCCAUUUCUACCGUGAAUUGUUCUUUAAGAGUGUGUGGUUGAUGUUUAAGUAUGUGAGGAAAUUUAUGGUUCACGAAGCUUCGCUCUGCUCCACUAUCAAAUAGAAUACAUGCAUAGGAGUAAUCGAGAAGGAACGUACCAGUCACCACCGUCGGGUCAGCAACUGCUUCCCCAUGGCUUAUUACCAGUACGCUCCCCGAUCCACCUGCAUUCUUUGCUUUGGGGCAGUCCCUCUUGUAGUGGCCCGCUUCACCACAUCCAUAGUAGGUUGGGCUCGCGCCUGAGCCAUGGACUUGAGUGAUCGGUCUUGCCGGAGACCUACAGAAACGGACAGUGUGUCCUUUCUUGUCGCAGUUAGAACACUGCAUUUCACAGUAGGGGCCGUUGUGGUGGAAGUUGCAUUUGUUGCAUUUCGGCAAACUUCUUGCAUACUGCUUCACCGGAGUAGUAGCAGUAGGGGUUAUUGCAGCAUGUACAGCCACAAUUUGCUGCUUUUUGGCAGUUCGCUGCUUCUUCNCCGCAAAGUGAAGAACCAGAUGAUGACCAUCCAUUCCAACUUACCCAUGCAAAUCCGAGAAGCCCAGUUUGGGGAUUGGACUCCAUGGUCGAUGAGUCGCUGUGCCAGCCGCUUGGCACUGUCGAAAGUAGUGGGGUUUGAUGAUAGAACAUUUCCUUGAUACGGAGGCACCAGCCCCUAGAUGUACCUCUCGAUCUUCUUCCCUUCAGUGGGAACCAUAUUGGGGCAAAGAGCCACCAGUUCACUGAACCUAGCGGUAUAAGCGACUAUGUUGGAGCCCUUCAUGCUUAGGCCCCACAACUCUUGCUCUAAUUUCUGGAUUUCGUCCCUCGGGCAGUACUCCUCAAUCAUGAGGUCUUUCAUUGUUUCCCAACCCAUGUCGUUGGCUCCGACGAGAGUUAGAGCUUUAACGUGGCCAUUCCACCACGUCAGGGCUUUUCCUUCAAAGGUGCAGGCGGCAUAUUUAACCUUGCUCGCAGCAGGGCAUGAACAAAUUUCGAAGACCGAUUCAGUCUUCUCGAACCAUUGCGAGAGGGCAAUGACUCCGCCGGUUCCAUAAAAGGACUUCGGCUUACAGUUGGUGAAAUCCUUGUAGGAGCAUUCUCUUGGACGCACAUGGAUCUCAGCAUGAGUAGAUUCAACAAGGGUUCCACCUUGGUUGUUGUUAGUUGAGUGAUAUUGAGCCAUGGCAGUUGCCACUACCACAGCCACUGCAGCAUUCAGAGCCGCAGUAUCGAUGACCGGAGGAGGUGGAGGUGGAGGAGGUGCAGGGUUACGUCUUGUUGACUUACGAGGAGGCAUCUUUCAGUUAUAAGUUUAUAAAGACAGAUACAAUGGUAAGAAUCAAUUGUAAGCAAGUUGAGAGUGACACAUGGACUAAGUAGCCAUAGUCCAACAGUUGAAUGAGUGUACGAAUUGAAGUCAUAAUAGGGAAGAAUAGUAGGAAAACGCAAGUGUAAAGAUUUUCUCACAGGUUAGUUAGCUAUCAAUAUUACUGGUAUUAUUGAUGUAAUGUGUUCAACGAAAAAAUUGACCUAACAGUAGGUCUUACAUCAUACCAUACGGAAAAGUUUGACAGUUACUAAAUUCCUAGUUAGCGUACUGAAAGUUAGGAAUAUUUUACAGACAAGUGUUACUAAAAGCCCAGAUACUAAAGGCUAUUCCUUACUCAAAAGACAAAGAUGUACUAGACAUCUUCUAAUGACGGCGAGAAUUUCUAGGGCGAAUCCUCAUGUCUGCCAAUUGACGAACCACUUCUCGGAGGUGUCAUUAGUGAGCUCUUUGGCGAACUCGAAGUUCUGCGAUUUCGGUGGUCAAUUGAUGUCGUAGUGCGUCAUUGGAUCUCCUCGUCCUUUCGAGUGCUUCUUCCAGAUGUCGAAUGCGGACAGUAUUAACGCCUGAGUUGGCAUCAAUUUCCAUGACUCGGUCGAUGGUUGCUCGACCUUGUUCGACGUUUCGAGCAAUUCUACAGACCAUGAUGGGCAGAGCUCUAUCCGCAGAACCACCUUCGCUAACGUUGUAAAAGCUUCGGUCCCCAAAGUAAGGUAAGGGUUGACCCUGUUCGUCGCUCCAGCGAUUCAAGUUGUUUACCCACAAGGGAGUGGGACCUGGAAAAGCUUGUUGGGGAUCGUUGUUUGGGGCUUGACCUACUAGCGGUAGGUUGUUGACUUCAGACUCGGAGUCGGAUCCAUCAGAAAAGCCUUCUGCGAGGUGAUCAUACAAAAGGGAUUGGAUGCUCAUCUUCGGGCUCUUCUUCUUCGAUCCACCCUGCAUUGCCUUCAUCUGGAAAGUACGGGUCAUCAUGAUGGAAUCCAGCCAUGAUAUCUAUGCGAGAAGAGAGGUAUGAGAAUAUAGUAUAUGCAUAGCUAAUAGUACAAAAUACACUUAUAGUAUUUUAAGUUUAGGUUCUACUGAUCUUCUUGUGGUAUUGUUGGUAAGUUUUUAGACUUGUUAACACAUCACAACCAUUCUAGGGCAUAUGCUAAUCACUCCUCGGACCAGCAUAGUUGAUCAGGCUAUGCCAUUCCCAAGACUGACCAUACAUCCCCGAGCUCACCUGUGAUAUUUAACAAUCGUAAUACUUUUGUUCUUGUCGUUGUGACACUGAUUUUAGUAUGAAUGCAGCCUAGUAUACUUAAUUAAAUAUUUUAGUAUUUAAUGUAUAGACUCUUGGUCAGAGUAUUUUUAAUCCCUUAUGUAUUUAUAGUUAGUAUAUCUUUUAUGGGUUGAUAUACUUAAUUCACUAUAAACAAUGCUCUGAUACCAAUCUGUCACACCCCAAAACCGAGAACGGCGGAAACGUUCUGGGGCGGAGGACGUCAUGUAAUGUAUCACAACACAGUAAUAGUAAACAAGCAAACAACAUCAUCCAUUGCAUUAAAUAUAUAAUUUUAAUACAAGCGUGUUCUGUACAGUUAUAGACACCAAAAAUAUAAUGUAAAUCAAAAUAAUAAGAUGAGUCUUGGAUGCGCUCCAUCUUCUCAAAAGCUGGCCUCGGUACCUGUCUACUGAUGACCUGAGAAUACAAGUUAUUUUGAAAGAGUUUAUCAGCAUUAAGCUGGUGAGUUCAUAAGUAUUUUAGUGUCAGUGUUUGUUGUCAAAACGUUUGAACCUGUCUCAAGUGUAAGUUUGUAAAAUGUAUGUAAAUGUUUGUAAGUGUUUGUAAAAGUUUGAAUCUCUCAGAAAAACCUAUAUUUUCUAUUAAAGUAGCCUUCUACCAAGGCUUAACUGUUUUGUAUGCUCGUUUGUUGUAAAAGUGUGUAAUUUCCCAAGUGUAACUAUCAUUUAACAAAAUAUAGUUUGUACAUUAAUGUUUAAGUGAAAUAAUCACUAAAUAUAUGUAAUGGGUAAAUUAUUGUAGUACUGUAGUGUUGUAUUAUAGGAACUACUGCUGUACUAACUACCUUAAACCGGAUUUAUAUUAAGGUAUCAUGUGAUAAAUUGCACCAUACUAUCGACUGGUAACAACGACAUACGAAUGGUCGUAAUAACGGAAUGACGUUUGGCACCCGCAGACCUGCAGGUCCGGCUGUAGCUAGCAGCAAGGUGUAGGAUAGUCAAUCCAGUAUAGAUCUAUACGCAAACUCACGCUCUCCCUCCAAGAGAAUUCUGGCUACAACUCGGGCCAUGACAUUUAAGGCAUGCUCCGAUACAGUGGAUCACAAUUGUUAACGUAUUCAUGUAUAUGUAAUGUAAUGUUACUUGUUCUAGUAUCGUUGUAUAUGUUCUCGUCCUAGUAUAGUUGUAUAUGUUCUCUUUCUAGUAUAGUUGUAUAUGUUCUCUUUCUAGUAUAGUUGUAUAUGUUCUCAUAGUAAUGUAAUGUAUAUGUUCUCAUAGUAAUGUAAUGUAUAGACUCAUGAAUGAACUGACUCAUUGAUCUAGAAGUUGUAGUAGUAUGAUCCUGUGUUACCCCGAUGGUAACUUACUAAUGAUGUAACUGAUACGCAUGAAUAUGGAAGUACUUUUAUGUCUAUAUAUGCACAUAUGAUAUAUAAUUAAUAUUGAAACGACCCUCGGACGGCUACCCGACAUCCCACCAGACCACAUCCAAAUCGAGGAAAAGGAAAUAGGGCGGAUGGCCUUCCUAAGCCUUUUAAACAUUUCUUAUAUAUCUAUGCAUAUAUGGACAUGCAAUUUAUAAGAAGUAUAAUAAAGUUUAAAUAAAAGUAUUUGAUAAGUAAAAGAGUUUGUAAAACAUUUUGAAGUAAAGCAGUUUGAUAAACAGUUUGAACAGUGAUAAAAUCAUUGGUUUUCUAGUUAUUAAUCACAUGUGAUUGAUGUAAUAACUAUAAGUAUUUAGCUUGUAUUCCCCCCUAUAAAAGUAUUUAAAACAUUUAAAAGUAUUUCAAAGGUUAAUUAAAGGGGUAUGAACUCACCUGUAGUGAGUGGUUCUGAUGACAAUGUUGGAUUAGUUGCUAGGUGUCAAGUGGUGACUUGAGUACACGCGCGAAUCCUAUUUAGCAUAUAUUGGCACAUAUAUGGAUUUAAUUAGUGUUAUGAACAACUAAUUGAUGAUUUUGGGACCACCUUAGGGACUAGUAAACACUUAUAAUGAAGUGUUAUAAUCAUAUAUGAUUGUAUGAGGGUUUAUAAGGCUAUACAAGAGGGUGUAUGGUCAAAAUACACACUAUAUGUGUGUGUGUGGCCAGGUGUGCGGCCUAGUGUGCUGCCAGCACAUGUGUGCGGCCCUGUGUGCGGCCAUGUGUGCUUCCAGGUGGUGUGUGCUGCCAUGUGUGCCGCCAGAUGAUGAUAUUGGUGUUCUUGGUGUUCUUGGUACCUUUUAUGAAGAUCUUCAAGGAGAAUGGAUGAUACUUAAGAGGAUUUUCGAGUUCUAUGCUUGAAGAAGUGAAGGAAGUGUUCAAGAAUGAUCUAAGUGUGGCAUAUAUAGGUGGAGUGUGCGGUUGGGAAGGUGUGAGGCCGCAAACAAGAGUGUGUGGCCGCAC